rnacentral:rRNA from 1 species
UACGAAGGGUGCAAGCGUUACUCGGAAUUACUGGGCGUAAAGCGCACGUAGGCGGAUACUUAAGUCAGGGGUGAAAUCCCGGGGCUCAACCCCGGAACUGCCUUUGAUACUGGGUAUCUCGAGUCCGGAAGAGGUGAGUGGAAUUCCGAGUGUAGAGGUGAAAUUCGUAGAUAUUCGGAGGAACACCAGUGGCGAAGGCGGCUCACUGGUCCGGUACUGACGUUGAGGUGCGAAAGCCAGGGGAGCAAACGGG